UCUUUUUAGUUUAGAAUUGUGGGUUAAGUUAAAUAUUUCAUUGUAAUGGAAAUAAGCUGUAAAUAUGGAACCAUAGUAAAAAGAUUUAACUGAAAAGUAUUUAUUAAAUAGUAUAUAGUUUUAUACCUUUUGCAUAAUGGUUUAAUAAUAAUAAUUUAAGUAUUUAUAUUCCCGAAAUUAGAAGAUCUAAUUUUUUAAUGUUAUAGACAUCAAAAUAUAAUGUAUCAAAAUUAUAAAAAUAUAUAAAAUUAGGAGUGAAAGGCUUACCAAUUCUAAUAAUAUCUGGAAUAAUUUUAAAUGUAUUUAGUACAGAAUAAUUUUUGAAUUAAAAAAUGUUAAGAUUUUUUAAAUAAUAGGAUGUUAAUUGUUUAUAUUUUUUGGAUUAAUCUUCUUAAUAUUGUUUUAAUUAAAUGAUUUAUUAUUGAAAAUAUCUUGUUAUUAAAAUUGCGAUUAUAAAAAUUAUUUAAUAAGUUGAUUAUGUUAAAAUUAGUAUAAUACUUUUAUUUUUUUAAGGAACUCGGCAAAUAUAUUAUUCGACUGUUUAUCAAAAACAUAGUCUUAUGUAUAAAAUAUAAGGUGUUACCUGCCCUGUGAUUUUUAAGAUAUUUAACGGCCGCAGUACUUUGACUGUGCUAAGGUAGCAUAAUAAAUUGACUUUUAAUUGGAGCCUGGAAUGAAAGGAUAAAUGGAUAAUUUCUGUCUCAUUAAAAUUUAUUAUAAAUUACUUAUAAGGUGAAAAUUCCUUAAUAUAUUUAAUAGACGAGAAGACCCUAGGAGUUUUAGUAUUUUGUUGGGGCGACAAUAUAACAUGUAAACUUAAUUAUAAUAAAGUUAAUAUAACAAAUAUUAUUUAUAAUAAAUAAACUACCCUAGGGAUAACAGCAUAAUUUAUUUAAGUUUGUGACCUCGAUGUUGGACUAGGGACUUUUAAUAUUAAUAGUGUUAAUUGUAAGUUCUGUUCGAAC
rnacentral:rRNA from 1 species